UUUCAGAUACUUGCAACAUCAGUUUGACAGUGCCACCAUAAACACCAAAAAAAGUGGCAUUGACUAAAGCUGCAGUGCAAAUUGGGGAGCUCAACCCUUUGAAUAAUCCAGUAGCCUGUUCACAAUAAGUCAGACAAAGAUUUUGUUGGUGUAAGGAAAAAGAAAUGAGCUUACCCCUUCAUUUUUCAAUGCCAACUGGACACAGCGACGCGUGGUCAAAUGUCCAUGAAGAUGAGUUUGUUGUCGCACUUUUAUCGUGUCGAUCGGAUGCCCAAAAAACGUGCCAGCUAUCCCUGUUUGAAUAAAACUUAAUGAAGAUAAUUUUAAAUGUUUAACCUGCUGGAUUUAUUGGUUCGACAAAACACACCACCACAACAUCCAGCGAAGAAAUCCGUCCAGACGUCCAUUCAAAAUAGUGAACGACGACAUCUGACGCUAUGGAAUUCAACUCACCCUUUGGACCUUAUCCCUUGGGACCUUAUCCAAAUUAAAUAGCCUAUGGGGACUGUGUUUUUCCUAUUGAUAACAGCAAAUACUUUUUUGAUAAAAAUAUAUGUAUACACACCUACAUUCUUCAAUGUUGAUCGACCCAAAAAGAAUUUUU